AAAAUGAUAGUGUACAGAUGCAAAAGAAGAAAGCAACUUAUGUAUUUUUGAAAAUCUGUGUUCAUUUUAAGAAGGCCAAAUAUAUUCUGUUGGUGCUAGUUUGCCUCUGGGAAUUUUAUGGACUUAAGCACUUGGGAUUUUGAUCCCUAUUUAUUGGGCCAGGCUUCUUUAAGUAAACAUGUGGCUUAUGAAUCAGUGGACAGAUUUGUUGCUCACACUUGAAUGUGUCAUAACGUUUUCUUAAGCAUCAGUCAGGCUCGCUGUAGUAAAAAUAUAAAACUUUUCCUACCCGUUAUGUCUUUCAUUUUCUAUAUUACAUUUAUGAUUGAAACUUACACACUGCCCAGCCUGCAGUGAUUUUUGGUAAAUGUGGCAGACUCUAGGAAUCUCACUGGCUUCCUCAAAUUCCUGUUUAGAAACAGGCUUCCCCAGUGCCCAGUAUGGAGACUUUUGGAUUCAGGUACGCUGAACAGGCAGGACUGAUUUCAAAUUCAAUCUGCUUCUUGAUUAUGAGAUCCUGAGUCAACCAUUGUUUCAGCGUUUUCCUCCUGUGUAUUUGUUUCUGUGUGAGAAAACUUUACUUCCAUUGGUUAACAGCCAGCUACUUUUCCCCAAAGAGCCACCUGUUUCUGAGUUUACACAGGAUAUGUUGGAUUUAUGUAAUACAAUAGGAUCAAUUUAAUUAUGCUUUUCCUUAAGUACAAUGCUACCUGGAAUUACUU
rnacentral:lncRNA from 1 species